rnacentral:tRNA from 2 species
UGGGGUGUAGUUCAAGUGGCAGAACAUCGGAUUUUGGAUCCGAAUGUUUGGGGUUCGAGUCCCUACACCCCAG